UCCCAGGUUUUGAACUUGUCACAGGAGUGAUUCUGUCUGAUCUCAGAAGCUAAGCAGGGUUGGGCCUGGUUAGUACUUGGAGGGGAGACCACCUGGGAAUACCAGAUGCUGUAGGAC
rnacentral:rRNA from 1 species